GCCUGUUUAGCUCAGCAGUAGAGCGCCGCUUUCACACAGCGGAGGUCCGGGGGGCGGCACCUCGAGCAGGCA
rnacentral:tRNA from 1 species